AGAGUUUGAUCCUGGCUCAGAACGAACGCUGGCGGCAGGCUUAACACAUGCAAGUCGAGCGCCCCGCAAGGGGAGCGGCAGACGGGUGAGUAACACGUGGGAACGUGCCUUUCGGUUCGGAACAACUGCGGGAAACUGCAGCUAAAACCGGAUACGCCCUUCGGGGGAAAGUUUACGCCGAAAGAUCGGCCCGCGUCUGAUUAGGUAGUUGGUGGGGUAAUGGCCUACCAAGCCGAUGAUCAGUAGGUGGUCUGAGAGGAUGAUCACCCACACUGGGACUGAGACACGGCCCAGACUCCUACGGGAGGCAGCAGUGGGGAAUAUUGGACAAUGGGCGCAAGCCUGAUCCAGCCAUGCCGCGUGGAUGAAGAAGGCCCUAGGGUUGUAAAGUCCUUUCGUCAGGGACGAUAAUGACGGUACCUGAAGAAGAAGCCCCGGCUAAUUUCGUGCCAGCAGCCGCGGUAAUACGAAAGGGGCUAGCGUUGUUCGGAAUUACUGGGCGUAAAGCGCACGUAGGCGGCCUUGUAAGUUGGGGGUGAAAUCCCCGGGCUCAACCCGGGAACUGCCUUCAAGACUGCAAAGCUAGAGGAUGCGAGAGGUUGGCGGAAUUCCGAGUGUAGAGGUGAAAUUCGUAGAUAUUGGGAAGAACACCGGUGGCGAAGGCGGCUCACUGGUCCGUUCCUGACGCUAAAGCGCGAAAGCGUGGGGAUCAAACAGGAUUAGAUACCCUGGUAGUCCACGCUGUAAACGAUGAGUGCUAGGCGUCGGCAGGCUUGCCUGUCGGUGCCGCAGCUAACGCG
rnacentral:rRNA from 1 species